rnacentral:rRNA from 1 species
GCCCUUACGAGUAGGGCUACACACGUGCUACAAUGGCGCAUACAGAGGGCAGCAAGCUAGCGAUAGUGAGCGAAUCCCAAAAAGUGCGUCGUAGUCCGGAUUGGAGUCUGCAACUCGACUCCAUGAAGUCGGAAUCGCUAGUAAUCGUGAAUCAGAAUGUCACGGUGAAUACGUUCCCGGGCCUUGUACACACCGCCCGUCACACCAUGGGAGUGGGCUGCAAAAGAAGUGGGUAGUUUAACCUUUCGRGGAGGACGCUCACCACUUUGUGGUUCAUGACUGGGGUGAAGUCGUAACAAGGUAGCCCUAGGGGAACCUGGGGCUGGAUCACCUCCUUAUACGAAGAUA